ensembl:snRNA U6 U6 spliceosomal RNA
GUGCUUGCUCUGGCAGCACAAAUACUAAAAUUGGAAUAAUACAAAAAUUAGCAUGUAUAAGGAUGACAUGCAAAUUCAUGAAGUGUUCCAUAAAAAG